AUGGGCAACCAGGUGAUCUGCUGUGUGGCCCUUUGUCUCCUCAGAGCAGGCACUGUGGAUGGCAGGGUCACUCAGACCCCAAAAUACCUGUUCAAAGUGGAAGGACGAGAUGUGACCCUGAAAUGUGAACAGGAUUUUGAUUACGACGUCAUGUACUGGUACCGACAGGACCCAGGACAAGGGCUGAGACUGAUCUACUACUCUCAAAUUGAUAGGAAGAUUUCACAAAACAAACAGGAUUCUCUGGGAGCUGGGAGAAAGGCUCUGGGCUCAGUGCUCUCGUCUCUCAACAUCCCAGCAGGGCUAUCUGUAAGAGUGGAGCGUCUGUGACCAUCCAGUGCCGUUCAGUGGACUUUCAAGCCUCAACUGUGUUUUGGUAUCAUCAGUUCCCAAAACAGGGCCUCGUGCUGAUAGCCACUUCUAAUGAGGGCUCUGAUGCCACAUACGAACAAGGUUACACCAAGGCCAAGUACCCCAUCAGCCACUCAAGCCUCACAUUUUCAUCUCUGAUGGUGACAAAUGUGCACCCUGCAGACAGCAGCCUCUACUUCUGUGGUGCCAGAGACACAGCGCUGGGCGGAGAUCAGAGACCCAAACAAGAACCUUUGUAA